GACGGCUCAGUAACACGUGGAUAAUCUGCCCUUAGGUGGAGGAUAAUCUCGGGAAACUGAGGAUAAUACUCCAUAGAUCUAGGAUGCUGGAAUGCACUUAGAUUAAAAGUCCCGACGCCUAAGGAUGAGUCUGCGGACUAUCAGGUAGUAGUCAGGGUAAAGACCUGACUAGCCUACGACGGAUACGGGUUGUGAGAGCAAUAACCCGGAGACGAUAUCUGAGACACGAUAUCGGGCCCUACGGGGCGCAGCAGGCGCGAAAACUUCACACUGUGCGGAAGCACGAUGAGGGAAUCCCAAGUGCUUGCUCGUAAGAGUAAGCUGUUUUUAUGUUUAAAAAGCAUACAGAGUAAGGGCUGGGUAAGACGGGUGCCAGCCGCCGCGGUAAUACCUGCAGCUCAAGUGGUGACCACUAUUAUUGGGCCUAAAACGUUCGUAGCCGGUUUAUUACAUGCUUGGGUAAAUCGUGUAGCUUAACUAUACGAAUUCCGGGUAGACUGAUAGACUUGAGACCGGGAGAAGCUAGAGGUACUCCUGGGGUAGAGGUGAAAUUCUGUAAUCCUGGGGGGACCA
rnacentral:rRNA from 1 species